UCUCAAAGAUUAAGCCAUGCAUGUCUAAGUGCACGCCUUUAUACGGUGAAACCGCGAAUGGCUCAUUAAAUCAGCUAUGGUUUACUGGAUCGUACCCGUUAAAUGGAUAACUGUAAUAACUCUAGAGCUAAUACAUGCCACGAAGCCCUGACCCGCAAGGGAAUGGGUGCACUUAUUAGAUCAGAAGCCAACCAGGCACCGGUCGCAAGACUGGUGCCUGCUGUCGUUCUGGUGACUCUGGAUAAUUGUUACAGAUCGCAGUCGGCCUUGAGUCGGCGACGGGUCCUUCAAAUGUCUGCCCUAUCAACUUUCGAUGGUAGGUGAUCUGCCUACCAUGGUGAUAACGGGUAACGGGGAAUCAGGGUUCGAUUCCGGAGAGGGAGCCUGAGAAACGGCUACCACUUCCAAGGGAGGCAGCAGGCGCGCAAAUUACCCACUCCCAGUACGGGGAGGUGGUGACGAAAAAUACCGAUGCGGGACUCCCAAACGAGGCUCCGUAAUCGGAAUGAGUGAACUAUAAAUCCUUUCACGAGGAUCAAUUGGAGGGCAAGUCUGGUGCCAGCAGCCG
rnacentral:rRNA from 1 species